UACGUAGGGCGCAAGCGUUGUCCGGAAUUAUUGGGCGUAAAGAGCUCGUAGGCGGCCAGUUGCGUCUGCUGUGAAAUCCCGGGGCUCAACCCCGGGCGUGCAGUGGAUACGGGCUGGCUAGAGGCAGGCAGGGGAGAACGGAAUUCCCGGUGUAGCGGUGAAAUGCGCAAAUAUCGGGAGGAACACCGGUGGCGAAGGCGGUUCUCUGGGCCUGUACUGACGCUGAGGAGCGAAAGCGUGGGGAGCGAACAGG
rnacentral:rRNA from 1 species